UACGAAGGGGGCUAGCGUUGCUCGGAAUCACUGGGCGUAAAGCGCACGUAGGCGGAUUGCUAAGUCAGGGGUGAAAUCCUGGAGCUCAACUCCAGAACUGCCUUUGAUACUGGCGACCUUGAGUCCGGGAGAGGUGAGUGGAACUGCGAGUGUAGAGGUGAAAUUCGUAGAUAUUCGCAAGAACACCAGUGGCGAAGGCGGCUCACUGGCCCCGUACUGACGCUGAGGUGCGAAAGCUAGGGGAGCAAACAGG
rnacentral:rRNA from 1 species